rnacentral:rRNA from 1 species
GUCACAUCAUGCAGUCGACGGCACCGAUGGAGCUUGCAACUUUGAUGCGAGUGGCCAACGGGUGAGUAUCAUACAGGAUAACCUGCCUUGGGCUGGGGAUAACAUUUGGAAACAAAUGCUAAUACCGAAUAAAACUUAGAAUCUGAUGAUGCAAGACUGAAAGGCCCCACGGCGUCGCCUAGAGAUAGGUCCGCGUAGCUUUAUUUAGUUGGUGGGGUAAAGGCCUACCACGACAAUGAUGCGGACCCAAAUUAAGAGACUGAUCACUGGCAUUGAGACUGAGACACGACUCAAACUCCUACGGGAGGCUGCAAAAUUUAAUCUUCCACAAUGGGCGAAAUCCUGAUGGAGCAACGCCGCGUGUGUGAUGAAGGCUUUAGGGUCGCUUUUGCUGUUGUAUGGGAACAAAUGCUAAAAUAAGGAAUGAUUGACGUUCCACGGUACCAUACCCAAAAGGGACGGCUCAAUCCGUGCCAGCCGCCGCGGUAACACAUAUGUCCCAAUCGUUAUACGGAUUU